ensembl:ncRNA F35D11.12 ncRNA
UACACCCUUUCUAUUUUCACAUUACCCCCUGAAAAUAACAAAGUUAGGUUUUUAGCCGAUUUUCUGAACAAUUAUUUGUUUUUCGCAAUU